rnacentral:rRNA from 1 species
UACGAAGGGGGCUAGCGUUGUUCGGAAUUACUGGGCGUAAAGCGCGCGCAGGCGGUCUUCCAAGUCAGUGGUGAAAGCCCGGAGCUCAACUCCGGAACUGCCAUUGAAACUGUUAGACUUGAGGACGAGAGAGGUGAGUGGAAUUCCCAGUGUAGAGGUGAAAUUCGUAGAUAUUGGGAAGAACACCGGUGGCGAAGGCGGCUCACUGGCUCGUUUCUGACGCUCAGGCGCGACAGCGUGGGGAUCAAACAGG